AAGAAUUUAAUGGUCGAACAGACCAAGAAAAAUGAAAUUUUACACCCAAAUCUAAUCUUAAUUCAACAUCGAGGUCGCAAACUUUUUCAUCGAUAUGAACUCUCCGAAAAAAUUACGCUGUUAUCCCUAAGGUAAGUUAAUCUUAUAAUCAAAAAAACUCUGGAUCAAAAAAACAUAAAUAAAUGAAAAUAAAAAAUAAAAGUUAAUAAAAUUUUAUUAUCGCCCCAAUAAAACUUUUUUUUCAAAAAAAAUAUAUUUAAAAACCAAAAAAAUUAUUUUUUAAAAAAAGUGAACUUCUAUAGGGUCUUCUCGUCCUAUAAAAAAAUUUUAGCUUUUUAACUAAAAAAUUAAAUUUAAAUAAAUUUAAAAAAGAAAGAUAAUUUUUCAUGAAACCAUUCAUACUAGCCUUCAAUUAAAAGACAAAUGAUUAUGCUACCUUCGUACAGUUAAAAUACCGCAGCCUUUUAAUUCUUAAAAAUCAAUGGGCAGGCCUGAUCUUAUAUUUUUAUCAAAAGACC
rnacentral:rRNA from 1 species